CUUGGCACCAUAUUGAGCCAUAUUGAGGAGGGACAGACAACUAAAACAUAAUUGUCAUUUUGUGGUAAAUGCUGUGGUGAAAAAGAAUUCAGGGAUGUUGGAGGAAUGGAGUAUCUGAUAUGUAUGUGGGGAUGGAGAGAAAUAGAGUUUUAAAUAGAGUUUUAAAUGAAGAUAGUUAAAAAGGGCCUCACUUUGAUAAGGUAGCAUUUGAACAGUGACCUCUGAAGAAGGCAAAGAAUAAAGCUAUAUAGGUUUUUGGCGAAGAACAUUCCAGCCAGGGAAGCUAUAAGUCUGAAAACCUUGAGUUUUUUCCCAAAGAGAUAAGGACUAAGGGGAAGUAUUGAGGGAUAUAAGGACUAUAUUUUAUAGAAUUUUGUGGGCCAGUGUCAAGAUCUGAAUUUUUAUUUGAGUUGGGAAGCCAUUAGAGGUUGUAGAAAAAGAAGUCAUGUGAUUAUGAGCGAAGGAUCAUCUGAAGACUGUUAAGAGUAGAUUGUGGUAGCUACAUUUAUGAGCAUAGCAUAACCUAGAAACUUGUGGAAUCACUACAUUGUACACCUGAAACUAAUGUAACAUAGUGUAUCAAACUACAAAAACUCAAGAAAAAGACUGUAAGGGGGCAAGAGUGAAAACAAAUCCUUUAGGAAAGCUGUUGCUUUGUUCACAUGGGAGAUGAUGGUGGGUUGGUUAAGGAGAUGGAGGUGGUAAUAAUGUCAGAUUUUGGGCCCAGUUUGUAUGUAGAACUGAUGGAGUUUGCUAUAGAUUGCUUUGAUGUGAAAUAGGAGAAGAGUUGUUGGGGUCAGAAUAUUAUUGUAGGAAUUAAAGUCUGAACCAAAUCCAGUUUAAGUGAAAAAGGAUGGGAAGUGAAAUGGUUAUCUUCUGGGUAGUGAAUGAAUGUAGGGUAACUUAGGUAUUUAAGAAUAAUAAGGCUGUUGCAGUAACUGAGUAAUGUAAGGUUUGAGGGUUUGGGUUUUUUUUCCCCUCCAUUUAUUUUUACUUUCCUUUUUUUUUU